rnacentral:misc_RNA from 1 species
GAUUGUUCAGGUUUUCUUGACCAAACCUUACUAUUACUCUUCGCUAUUGCUGCUACCGGGACUUUUCACUAAAAAUAUAUGACUUCACUUGUGAGCUUUGGAUGGAAAAUGGAACUCCUAGAUUUUGGUGAAACGGACCACUUCAAGGGAGCUUCAAAUGCAAUGAGUUAGUCAUUUGCAGUUGAACAAACUUUAUACCAGUAGAGAGCUGAAAC